rnacentral:rRNA from 1 species
UACAGAGGUCUCAAGCGUUUGUUCGGAUUCAUUGGGCGUAAAGGGUGUGUAGGUGGCGCCGUAAGUCGGGUGUGAAAUUCGGAGCUUAACUCCGAAACUGCAUUCGAUACUGCGGUGCUUGAGGACUGGAGAGGAGACUGGAAUUCAUGGUGUAGCAGUGAAAUGCGUAGAGAUCAUGAGGAAGACCAGUGGCGAAGGCGGGUCUCUGGACAGUUCCUGACACUGAGACACGAAGGCCAGGGAGCAAACGGG